UACGAAGGGUGCAAACGUUGCUCGGAAUCAUUGGGCGUAAAGCGCACGUAGGCGGCGCUGCAAGUCGGACGUGAAAUCCCUCGGCUCAACCGAGGACGUGCAUCCGAAACUGCAGUGCUCGAGUAUGGAAGAGGGUCGCGGAAUUCUCGGUGUAGAGGUGAAAUUCGUAGAUAUCGGGAGGAACACCAGUGGCGAAGGCGGCGACCUGGGCCAAUACUGACGCUGAGGUGCGAAAGCGUGGGGAGCGAACAGG
rnacentral:rRNA from 1 species